AUAAGAAUGCUACGCUCUCAAAGGCGUGGCUCUAUGAUAUCGAACAAGGCCGCCUCACAUGUCUUACUGAGAUGCUGGACGUUCAUUUAGCGGAUGCGCUGAUUGGAGAUUCAUUGAUCGGUGGUGCUGAACAGCGCCCGAUUUGGACAAAGGACAGCCAAGGGUUUUAUGUCAUCGGCACAGAUCAAGGCAGUACGGGCAUCUAUUAUAUUUCGAUUGAAGGCCUUGUGUAUCCGAUUCGUCUGGAAAAAGAGUACAUCAAUAGCUUUUCUCUUUCACCUGAUGAACAGCACUUUAUUGCCAGUGUGACAAAGCCGGACAGACCGAGUGAGCUUUACAGUAUCCCGCUUGGACAGGAAGAGAAACAGCUGACUGGCGCGAAUGACAAGUUUGUCAGUGAGCAUAUGAUAUCAAUACCUGAAGAGAUUCAAUAUGCUACAGAAGACGGCGUGACGGUGAACGGCUGGCUGAUGAAGCCUGCACAAAUGGAAGGUGAGACAACAUAUCCACUUAUUCUCAACAUACACGGCGGUCCGCAUAUGAUGUACGGACAUACAUAUUUUCAUGAGUUUCAGGUGCUGGCGGCGAAAGGAUACGCGGUCGUUUAUAUCAAUCCGAGAGGAAGCCACGGCUACGGGCAGGAAUUUGUGAAUGCGGUCAGAGGGGAUUAUGGAGGAAAGGAUUAUGACGAUGUGAUGCAAGCUGUGGAUGAGGCUAUCAAGCGAGAUCCGCAUAUUGAUCCUAAGCGGCUUGGUGUCACGGGCGGAAGCUACGGAGGUUUUAUGACCAACUGGAUCGUCGGGCAGACGAACCGCUUUAAAGCUGCUGUUACCCAGCGCUCGAUAUCAAACUGGAUCAGCUUUCACGGCGUCAGUGAUAUCGGCUUUUUCUUUACAGACUGGCAGCUUGAGCAUGACAUGUUUGAGGACACAGAAAAGCUCUGGGACCGGUCUCCUUUAAAAUACGCAGCAAACGUGGAGACACCGCUUUUGAUACUGCAUGGCGAGCGGGAUGACCGAUGCCCGAUCGAGCAGGCGGAGCAGCUGUUUAUCGCUCUGAAAAAAAUGGGCAAGGAAACCAAGCUUGUCCGUUUUCCGAAUGCAUCGCACAAUUUGUCACGCACCGGACACCCAAGACAGCGGAUCAAGCGCCUGAAUUAUAUCAGCUCAUGGUUUGAUCAACAUCUCUAAUAAAAAAGCCAGGCUGAUCAAAUAUCAGCCUGGCUGCUUUAUUAAAAGACUUGUUCUACUUCAACGACACCCGGCACUUCUUCUAGAAGAGCGCGCUCAAUUCCGGCUUUCAGCGUAAUUGUUGAACUUGGGCAGCUGCCGCAUGCGCCUAGAAGACGAAGCUUAACGAUACCUUCAUCUACGUCUACAAGCUCACAGUCACCGCCGUCACGAAGUAAAAACGGACGAAGUUUGUCCAGUACUUCCUGCACCUGUUCUUUCAUUUCAACUUCAGUCAUGACAUUCGCUCCUUUCGUCGUCAUAAAACCAUUAUAUUCAGUGUAACAAUAAAAAUCUAUUGUUUGGUUUGCAAAGUUGCUCUCCCU
rnacentral:rRNA from 1 species